CUAAAAAUACUACAUAAAUCCAGACAAAAAUACCUGGUGCACAACUGCACAUGCUGAUCAAUAUUCCUGUAAAGUUACAUGACUCUAGGUCAAAUACUUUUUGAGUUACGUGCAACACAUGUUGAAAAUUGCAAAAUUUUACUAAGUCAAGGGCAAUAACUCUGAAAAUACUAAAAAUAUCCACACGAAAAUACCCAGGUGCACAACUACACAUGCUGAUCAACAUUCCUGUAAAGUUUCAUGACUCUAGGUCAAAUACUUUUUGAGUUACAUGCGACACAAGUUGAAAAUUGCAAAAUUUUACUAAGUCAAGGGCAAUAACUCUGAAAAUACUAAAAAUAUCCAGACGAAAAUACCCAGGUGCACAACUACACAUGCUGAUCAACAUUCCUGUAAAGUUUCAUGACUCUAGGUCAAAUACUUUUUGAGUUACAUGCGACACAAGUUGAAAAUUGCAAAAUUUUACUAAGUCAAGGGCAAUAACUCUGAAAA